rnacentral:lncRNA from 1 species
GCUUCAGAGCUCUGUGAGCUCUGCUCUGGGACUUUGGAUGGAAUGUCCCUGUUUCAUCCCUUGGAUGAACAUGGGUUCUGACAGCUGCUCAGCAGCAGAUGCUCUCCUCACUAUUCCCUUCUUUUUCCCCACUCCCAGCCUGUUUCAGUUUCUCAGUGCUUUGUCUUAGGUGGCCGCUGAGCACCCAGAAGCUUCCAGGUGUGGCUGUAAAGUAGGGUGAAGGCACUCCUGACAUCGUGGCGUGGUGUAAGGAGGAGAGCAAAGCAAAAUUUGGGGAAUCCUUUCCACUAUUAGAGGGAAUUUCUCCAAGCUGUAGUGCUGAUGGCUGCAGCAGAGAGCCCGGAGCUGAGCAGAAAAUGCGAACGGGUCAUUGCAUCAACAGCUGGAAAAAGGCAGUGGCUGUGAACAUGAUGGAUCUUGCAGGUGAGAACGUUCCGAGAGCAGCUGAGGCCCUGCAGUCACCAUCCGCUCGCCGCUGGCUCGGUCUGCUCACUGCUUUGCAGCCAGGACACCGGCAGUGCUUCUUCUCCACUUUUCCUAUUCCUGGAGCCUCCUUGUCAGCCGUGUGCGCCCUCACGCUGGCUGCCCACAGUGCUGGCACUUGCAGGCUGUUAUUGCAAAAGCUCAGCUCUGCAGAGCCAGGCUGGCAGUCCCAAGAAGACGUCUGGUCCUGAGCGGGGUCACCCAUCCCUGCAUGGCUCUGCGGGGUCCGGCGGCAUCAUCCCAUCAUCCGCUUCAUAACCGUUGCUAAUUGGAAAAUGAAACCAUAAGAAGAAAAUCUGCUUCAAGUUAUUGCAUGGGCUUUUGUCCCCCACCGAGGAGGCACAAAUCAAGGAAUCAGAAUGUUUAACAAAACAAACAGAGAUUUCUUUGGUAUUGUGGGAGAUUUAUAGGCUGCGGCAUCCAGAGAAGCCUCCUCCCGCUCCGUCCUUCUGCUUGAAUUCCUGCUGGUCACUGACUUAUUACUUUUCUUACUGCUUCCCCUGCUUUAAAAGUGGGGAAAGCACAAUCAAAUUAUCAUAAUACUCAUUUGGUUAAUUGCCCAUUUAGUUACUUAUUGAGUUCAUUAAAAAGACAGUGUCAGUUAGGAGGAAAUGCAGAGAGGUGGGCAGUGAGGGGACAGGAUGUGGGCUGAAAUAGGCCAUUACUCCGGCCCCGAGAAUGGCAGUUUGUGUCCCUUCUUUAUUGCUGCAUCACUUCUGUGCAUGAUUUGUUCUGGAUAAAAAAAAAAAAAAACCCAAACCAACCCAACAAGCACAAAGCAAAAGGAGAAAGCCUGCUGCCGCAGAUCUCCAUUGCGCGUUAGAAUCCAUUUAGCAUCAAUCCAAAGCUCUGCAGAAGCCCAAACCACCUAUUUUAGGAUCCUUUUUUCAGCUGAGAAAAAUGUGCUGCUCCACAGGUCAGGAGCUGCCUGCAAUUAUGACCCCGAAUAGAUAGAAACGUUGCUUCUUGAGACAAAUUCCAUCUGACAGUUUUUACAGUACGUUCGUUCAGAGCAAAAUGCCCUGUCCCCUGUCACCCG